GUGGACAAAACUUCUGUUUCUAUGGCUUAGGAGAUGUCGUUAGUUAUGUUUAGACUGCAAGCCCAUAAGCCAUGGCUGACAAACUAAGCAGCCAACCAGUGAAGUACAAACCUGACCAAGACCGGACCUAAGCUUGUAGUAAAAACUUGAUUUAUUUGAUAUGCAAGUAAGAUGACGUCACUAGUUGUGGGAAUAUUUUCGCAGUCCACAGGGCUCUUAGGCUAUGCAUGUUUACACUUGUACCGGAUAGCUUUCCGUAGCGACGUGAAAAAACCCUAUCCGUUCUUUUAGGAACGCUAUUUUCAGAGAAAUUAUUGCAACGGAGAGAUGUUGUUUCGCUCAGCUUCUGAAAGUUGUACAUUCCGUAUCGGAUAGAUGCUUUUUCAUGCCGCUACGGAAAGCUAUCUGGUAUAGUGUAAACGUAGC